GUAUAGAUGCGCACACACCCUUUCUCUCUUCUUCUCCUCAUCCUCCUCCUCCUUCUAAAGAAGUCAUGGCUGGUAAUUGCAACAGCAAAGCCUCGUGAUGUAGUGACAUGCGCAUUUAGCGUUUGACGCAGCAUGCAAUCAAUUAAACUUCUUCUCCUGUAUGUUAUGAGGCGGAGAGGAGGGGGGAUCGCAUUUAUCAACGCUUAGUGGAAUCGGUCACUCACUCAUUACUCAAUCACAAGAAUGAAGCUCCAUCGUCAAUCCAUCAUCUUAAAGUGCACAUUACAAAAAUGUCAAUGUUAUGGCAGAAGAACUUAACACCGAAGUUGUUGAAUGAUAUAUUCGAUAACAUUACUAAUAUUGUUUUUUGUGCGGGCCAACGUUCACUGUGCCGUCACAUUCACAAGCUUUGGAGUAUUAUUAAUAUGGAGCCUUCUGCAUGUACCGACAAGAAGACUGGUGUCUGAAGGUGGGAACAUGGGUGCUUGACAAUAAACACAAGAGUCCAAAAGAAUGCAGUUUGUGUUUAUUGAAGCAGAUACAGCAGCUAAGAGGGACAUCUCAUCCAUGUUCCUUCUGCCCCUUCAUCUCUCUAGCCACCAUAUACAGUUUGAUAACAUUAAAUAAUGGAGAUAUGUAAUGCUGAGGUUUUGGACCGCCUAAUGGUUUUUGCCAUUGUUGAUGCUGUGAGAGGAUGAGAAAGAGAACAAAACACAAGACAAGGAGCUACAAAGGGUAAUCUCAUGGGAGAACACAUGACGUGCAUGAGAUGGGUUGUCGGGUGGCAAUUGGUCCCUUGUUACCUCAACCCCAUUUGUUAAGGCAGGCUUUUGUUAUGCACGCCUCUGUAAUCUAUCUGUGAUUUCUUUACCCCUCUCUGGCUAACUGUUGAAAGUAAAUGCCCCAAGAUUGUCCCCAAGAUUAUUGACUCUUGGACAAUUGGUGGAACCUCACUUUAAAUAUGACCCUUCUCUCCUGGUUUAUCCAUGCCUUUAGAGCGCACCAGCACGUUCUAUACAUGAUUGGAAUAGAUUGAUGAAGUCGCCAUGACAGCCCCUUCGCAACAGUAAGAGCUCUCAUUCAACACCAAAUCAAACCAAAACGCUCUCUCUGCCGAUUCCUGCGAUUCUUACAUAUGAUUGUCAUCUUCGUUUUGUGUGAACGUAGAGUUGAGAUACAAUUGACAAGGUGAACUGCUUCCAUUUUCAUCCGUCAAGCUGCAUAAUAAGAGAAACAUCCCCACACACACAAA